GCGUCUGCGCAGGCGCGUUUAUAGUAGCCUAAGCGUUUCAGAAAUAGUACGGUUUUUAGCGAAAAUGCAUGUCUUUUUGGAAGUUAUAAAUAUACGACUGAAUAUAUAAGGCUUGGAUUGUACUGCCCGAUUCGUGUGAGAGUUGAUGGAAAAUGGACGUUGUUUUAUCAACAAGUAACCCUGAUGGCAUGGGAGGAAAAACAAAGUUGUCUUCAAAGCAACACUAGGUGGAGACUUCAGGGGCCAGAGGCACAGUUUGGGGUCAGCCGGAGGUUCCUGGGAUUCCUCGGAGAGAUGAGAUGAGGUUAUGAGAGGUCAUGUAGAACAGCUCGGUGUGACAGCAAAUCAGAGGCCACCCCUCCGGAGCAGUAACGUGAAACAAAAAGGAAACAAG